rnacentral:RNase_P_RNA from 1 species
GGAGCCGGGCAGCCGCGUCAUCUUUGCGCUUCUGGCGCAAGGGUGUCGAGGAAAGUCCGGGCUCCACGAAACAAGGGUGGCGGGUAACGCCCGCCGUGACAGGGAUUUCGGUCCUUGGCACAGGGAAAGUGCCACAGAGAGCAAACCGCCGAUGGCCCGUUAAACGGCACAGGCAAGGGUGAAAGGGUGCGGCAAGAGCGCACCGGGGGGCCGGUAACGGUUCCCGUCAUGGCAAACCCCACCCGGAGCAAGACCGCAUAGGGGUCUCGCGCCACUGGUUGGCAGGAGUGUUUCGCUCCGAGAGACCCGGGUUGGUUGCUUGAGCUACGGAGCAAUCCGUCGCCGAGAUGAAUGGCUGCCCCCGCAGCGCUGAUGUGUCAGCAUAUCGGCCGCGGGACAGAACCCGGCUUACAGGCUCCCC